UUUUUUUUUUAUAUUUUUUCUUCUGUUUAUUAUUCUUAUCAUAUACUUUCCGAGAAGCAUAGCGACCUCUGAGGAAUUUAAUACAUCACUUUACAUUGGAACACCUAGCGAAUUGUAAGAUUCAUUAAAACCUAAAGCGAUUUUAAAACGACUCAAAAAAAACCGAAGGGCUGUGAGUCAUUGACUAUUUAAUAUAUAUCCCAAAUUACAUUGCUGGAACAUGACAAAAAUAUAAAUCGUGAAUAUGUUACAUAAGCACAUACAUCAAUUAAUUUCAUUUUCCUUUUGGUGACGGCAAAACAUUGUGCAGUCCAGUGCACUUUCUCAAUUAAAUUGACCUUCUAUCUCUACUAUCAUAAUAAGGAGGAGUUAUGGUCCAUAACUACUUCUUCUGAAGGCAAGAUUUAUUUAUACAUUGCGGAUUUAUUCCAAAUAGCGAGGGUUUAUCGAGAAUUAUGAGGAUUUAUUGAAAUUGUCGUAGAAUUACAAAGGAUUUAUUUCUAUGUGGUGGAGAAUUACCAACUGUGCAUUUUCCAUGCAUGCGCCUUACGUUCAGAAAUAACUAAAAGUAAACUUAAUACAAUAAUAUGUAGACUAAAUUGGGCCGAAUCUAUUGCGUGGUUAAUAGAGUAACAGUUACUACAACUUAUAACAACACUAUUGGAAAGUUUUUGAAUCAAUCGAUUUUAUUUUAAUCGAAUACCUUUUGCUUAGAUUUUAGAGGACGCACCAAAAUCAUAACCUUUAUAUCCGAUUUCCUAAAACGGCUAUCCGGAAAGCGCAACUAUUAUUAUUAUAAGAACAAAGGCUUUCACGGCCGGAAUCCAUAGUAGAAUGAAGAUUCG